CCAAGCCUUGGAGCACUUAAGUCCCAGCAUGACUAGCAAACUUGAGACUCCUUUUGUUCUGGAUGACACCAUUGGAUUAGAAAACUUUCAACAUGUUGGGCCACAGAAAGAGAACCAACAGUUUAUCAAGGAAGUGGACUCGAGAACGACCAAUAGAAUUCUCCAGAAACAAAUGGCGACUGGUGCUGACACUCAUCCAGGGAAUGCAGACCCAGCGUUUGAAGGUGGCACCUCCUCGGAGCCUGGCUCAGCCCCCCUGGCCGACCCAGGUGCCUCCAGCUCUGCCCAGGGCCCAGGAAGUCCUGAAAGCCAAAUGGCUUCUCCAAGAAAAGUGUCUAGCAUCCCUGAGAGAGCUUUGGAGGAAAACAUUAGUUCUCGUCCCUCAGACAGAAGCAUGACAUCCACCUCCGAGGCCCUGGAAGACCCUCCCAGAAUAGCGUCCCCCCACAAUGCAGAGACUCCUCUCAGAGCCGAGGGAGAAACUGCACAUGGCGGGGCCUCUGCCUCCUUGGCCGAGGCUGCCGAGCCUCCUGGUACAAGCCCUGAAACAGCAUGUGGAGUGCCCCUGGCAGACCUUCCUGUCGAGGCCCUGGCCCCCCCUGAGAGUGUGGACACCCCCGGGCCCCUGCCGGCUGGCAGGGCCACAAGCCCAACCUCCGGUCCUGGGGCUGUUGAGAACUCAAGUCUGAGCCAGUAAGUUCGGGAUUGGCUGCUCUAUGGUAUGUGUGGUCAGGGGCCCAUUCCAGAAAUGCCAUUUAGAUGCUCCUUUGUGACCAGGGAAAGCCCCCAGGAGGGGCGUCUUGGGCAGGGGAGGCACAGCUGCAGAGUCCCCAAUCCCGAGACCCGGCAGCUGCCAGGAGUUGGGUCCGUGGUUGUGUGGUAGUGAGCCCUCCAUUUAAAGAAGAAUCAAGUGCAUGAGCGCUGGCACUCAAGUUGAAAGCAAAGUAUGGCCAGCCCCAGAGCAAGGCCCCCUCCCCCAGCUCGAGCACCUCCCCAGGUGAACCUGGAUUCCAACAGCCAGAUGAGCCUGUUACCACCUAGGGUGACUCUCAGUCCCCACGUGUGUACCUUCUGGUGGGAGCACCUUCCGGUGCCGCUGCUCACUGGGGUCUUAGCCUUCCUCCACCCAGCGUUCUGGUGUGGAGCUUUCCUAGCAGAACCUCCAGGGCCAGCUGCCAUCCUCUGUCUCCUCUUCGGCCACACCCCAUGGCUUGAGUUGCUCAGCCAGGGCAUGGCCCUUCGCUACCUCCUAUCCCCCCAGGCCCUUUGCUGAUUUCACAGUCAAAAGACUACAGGAGUCCUCUUUGCUUGCCCAUUCCUCCCAGAGCCAGGAGGCAAGGCGCGUGUUUCUCAUUCUGGGUAGGGCUGGUGAGGGCAGCUUCGUGGUCAGGUCACUUGGGCAGCCCCUGUACCUGGCACAAUGCUCUAGCUGAGCAUUGACGUGACCAACGCAACAAUGCAGGUAGGAGGCAGAUGGGCAGCUCGGUGCUGGGAGCCAUGGGGCAGGGCACCUAGGUCUCUGCUGACUCUGUCUCUCCAGGCAGCUGCGUCCAGCCUCAGUGGAGGACACACCUGUGGCGCAGAUGGCAGCUGAGACUCCAAGCACAGAGGGCAAGGUACGGGGUGUACGUGUGAGGGCUUAUGAUCCUGUACUGUCCAUGUGAAAAGUCUCGGGGUAUGGGAGGCACAGGUGACCUUGCGGUGACAGGAUGGGAUACCCUGCUGCCCUCGCCCCUGGGGUUCCUUUUGCUGAGAAUGGGUGAGGCAAAAUCCCACCCAGAGGGUCCUCAACUGCAAAGGGUGACCCUGACCUUCCCUCCAGGAGGGAAACUGGAAUUCUUCGGGCACAUCGGUUCCCACGAGCUGUCCAGGCAGUGAGGCAGUGCCCCCAACUCAGCAGGGGCCAGAGCCUGCCUUGGAGCCGAAGGAGGAGAGCUUCAGAGACCCUGCAGAGGGUAAGUUGCCUCAGGGCAGACGUCCUCUGGUUUGCUUUAAAUGUAUCCCCUGAGCAUUUGUGUUUGGUGGCUUGACUCCCCUGCAUCAUUGGCCAGUGGUCAUUCUAUAGGCUGGUCUGUCACCUAACAUUAAGUAAUUCAUACACAAACUUCUAGUUUAUCAAAAGAUAGGCAUUUUCAGUAGGAUAGGUCUCAUACAUUUCACUUAAAGGACUUCUAGAAAUAGAAUUUGUAUACUCAGAGAAAUCAGCCAAAGGCAAAAACAAGAUGACACACGGACAUGCAAACUUGUAAUUGCCAACUGGGCAUUCGUUGGUAAUCAGGGAAUCAAUGAAAUGAGAAGCUUAGUCCUUCAACACCAGGCUGUGGUGAAAUGUGGAUGGUAGAAUGGUCAUUAAAGUGCAUCGGAAGAGAAAAGUAUAAAUGAAGUGUGUUCAGUGAGUUAUAAUUGGAUUGGUUUAAAGGCUAUAAAGCAACUUUGUAAAAUCUCUGUUUGGAUUACUUAAAACCUCAGUCAUUGAGAAGACUGGAAGGUGAAUGUAGGUAGGGUUUAUCUCUGGCAGGAUAGUCAUGGGUUCUGGCCACAUGGGGAUAAGCUUAGCUGGGGUGGACCUGUCACCCCCAUGUGGGACCUCUGGAAUCACACACAACAUGAGCGUUUGGGUCUGGCCUCUGCCACGGAGCAUGGUGUUUCCAAGGCUCGUCCAUCUGCAGCAGGUGUCAGUGCCUUGUCCCCGAGGUGGCUGAAUAACAUUCAUAUUUUGUUAACUCAUCGGUGGACGUUUGGGGUGGUUCCACUUUUUAGCUGUUGUAAAUAAUGUCAUGAACAUUCAUGUCUUUAGCUUUUUGAUCUAUUUGGAGUUAAUUACUAUAUAUGGUUUGAGGCAAUCUUAAAAUUUUGUGUAGAAAUAUGUUUUCAUUCUUGGUUUUAUUUGAUACAAAGUCUACCUCUGUUACUCUGGCUAGAGUGCUGUGGUGUCAGCCUAGCUCACUGCAACCUCAAACUCUUAGGUUGAAGCGAUCCUCCUGUCUCAGCCUCCCGAGUAGCUGGGUCUACAGGCAUGCGCCACCAUACAGAGCUAAUUUUUUUCUAUAUAUUUUCUUUCUUUUUUUAUUCUUUUAGUGUAUUAUGGGGGUACAAGUGUUAAAGUAACUUUUAUUGCCCAUGCCCCCCUGCCCCCUUCUAUAUAUUUUUAUUUGGCCAAUUAAUUUCUAUUUUUAGUAGAGAUGGGGUCUCGCUCUUGCUCAGGCUGGUGUUGAACUCCUGACCUUGAGCAAAUCUCCUACCUCGGCCUCCCAGAGUGGUAAGAUUACAGGCGUGAGCCACCACACCCUGCCACGAUUUUAUUCUUUUGUAUGUAUACCUGGCAUUAGAAUUUCUAGAUCAUGGUGACUCUAUGCUCAACUUUUUGAGGAACUGCCGGACUGCUUUCCCGAGGGGCUGUACCCUUUUACAAUCCUACCAGCAGUGUGUAGGAGGUUUCCUCACCAACACUUGUUAUGUCUCACUGAUCCUGGCCGUCUGAUGGCUGCAAAGUGGUAUCUGGUUGUGGUUUUCAUUUGCAUUGCCCUGAUGGCUAAUGAACAUCUUUUGGGCAUCUAGUUUUAUAGCUUUAGCUCUUACAUUUUCUCUACGACGGCUGC
rnacentral:lncRNA from 1 species